rnacentral:ncRNA from 1 species
GUCGUGUGUGUGAGGAGCGAGGGUCUGCGGUCCCCUUGACGAGGAUGGAGGAAGCCCUCAGGCCAGCACCGGUGAGGCUUUGCCGCCGUCAUUUGUUU